rnacentral:rRNA from 1 species
CCCUUAGAUGUCCUGGGCCGCACGCGCGUUACACUGAUGCAUUCAACGAGCUUAUAACCUUGGCCGAGAGGCCUGGGCAAUCUUGUUAACGUGCAUCGUGAUAGGGAUAGAUUAUUGAAAUUAUUAAUCUUGAACGAGGAAUUCCUAGUAAACGAAGAUCAUCAAUCUGCAUUGAUUACGUCCCUGCCCUUUGUACACACCGCCCGUCGCACCUACCGAUUGGAUGGUCCGGUGAAGCCUCGGGAUUGUGGUUCUUGCUGCUUUAUUGUGGCGUGACCGCGAGAACUUGUCUAAACCUUAUCAUCUAGAGGAAGGUGAAGUCGUAACA